rnacentral:rRNA from 1 species
UGGGGAAUAUUGCACAAUGGGCGCAAGCCUGAUGCAGCCAUGCCGCGUGUAUGAAGAAGGCCUUCGGGUUGUAAAGUACUUUCAGCGGGGAGGAAGGGAGUAAAGUUAAUACCUUUGCUCAUUGACGUUACCCGCAGAAGAAGCACCGGCUAACUCCGUGCCAGCAGCCGCGGUAAUACGGAGGGUGCAAGCGUUAAUCGGAAUUACUGGGCGUAAAGCGCACGCAGGCGGUUUGUUAAGUCAGAUGUGAAAUCCCCGGGCUCAACCUGGGAACUGCAUCUGAUACUGGCAAGCUUGAGUCUCGUAAAGGGGGGUAGAAUUCCAGGUGUGGCGGUGAAAUGCGUAGAGAUCUGGAGGAAUACCGGUGGCGAAGGCGGCCCCCUGGACGAAGACUGACGCUCAGGUGCGAAAGCGUGGGGAGCAAACAGG